CCCAGCAAUAUGAUUUGCUUCACAAGUUCACAUAGUCUUCAGAUAUUGCUGAUUUCUAAUCAACAAACCAGUACUUGCCAAAAUGCACCAAAAUGCCAAACCAUUAAAGGACCACUAUAGUGCCAGGAAAACAUACUCGUUUUCCUGGCACUGUAGUGCCCUGAGGGUGCCCCCACCCUCAGGGUCCCCCUCCCGCCCGGCUCUGGAAGGGGGAAAGGGGUAAAAACUUACCUUUUUCCAGCGCUGGGUGGGGAGCUCUCCUCCUCCGAUCCUUCUCUUCUCC